GCCCAGACCGGAUGACGGAGCGUUCCGGGAGCCUCUGGCUCGGGCCUCCCCAGCCUGGCGCGCGCGGUAAAGGCUCUUCCAGCAAAGGCAGGAAGAAGUAGUUUUCCCAGGCUGUGGAACGGUGUAGGAGACCGUGUUCCAUAAGAACUCCACGCUCUCCCCGGCAUACGCCCCGGGGUCCCAGCUUAGCUGCAAAGUAAAAGAUGUGCACCAGGAGCAGAGUAGGAACCAGGCACAAGAAGCGUCAGUUUGGGAGAGGAAGGACUGACUGAACACCGACUUGGCCUCUGCAUCGUGUUUUCAGACCACCACGAGCGUGCGCCUCGAUUUCCUUUCUCUAGUGACUGCCACCAGCUGCCGGUUCUGUGACACUCGCAUGCCCGGAGCGGUCAGCUUCAACACACCCACCGGGUCAUCGGGCUGCUGCAUGAAAACACGAGUGAAAAGGGACACUGGAGGGCAGGAGACGCCGCAUUGCAGUUGACACACACCGUCCCAUCCCUGGGACGGACGUGCCGUCUCUACUUAAGGCUUCUUAACAUCACACUAUCCACUAUGGGCGGGAGUUCUGUUUUGUGAACGCAGAGUUUCAACGUCUGUUCCAGUCAGGUGACCUAAACGUUGUUUUAAAUUAAGACGAAAGUCUGGUUUAAGAAAUUCUCCAAAAGAAUAAAAGUUCCCAACGUGAA